GCUUUUUCUGUGGUUAUACCUUACAGUUGACUGGUUAGCUAUUAGCACAUACAUAAACUAUGAACCUAGACCUUUGGAAGUUGCUGCUCUGGCUGUUACUAUGGACCGUUUUACUCUUUUUUUUCUGCCUGACUGAAUGUUUGUAAAAGUAACCCAUAUUCUUUGAUUAAAUAAAAGAUGUCUCCCACUCAUAAAUCUUUGAAAAUGAAGAACAGGAGUAGUGGAAAGAAAAAAAGGUUCACUAUGCUUCAAUUACUGGAAUCAAGUGAAACCACUGAGAAGAAAAAGUUCCAAGCUUGUGCUAACUGGCAGAAGAAAAGUGUGGGAAGAAAAUAAUGAAUUAUACAGUGGAGGCUGGAUUUCCGCAGCUUUCUAAGUUGCUACAUCUCAACAUCUCUUUAGCCUAAUUAAUUAUUACUUUUACUUACUGUUCCUGUGCCAACCAUGUGACUGUCCUGCUUAAGUCAACAGCAUACACACCCACGGUUACCGGAUCAUUGUUUUUAAGAUUUAGCCAUUCAACAGGACACCGCAAUACCACAUCCUCUGGACUCACUCCCCACAUCCAGAUACCAUGAAUAAUGGAUUUGCAGUGAAAGUAACCCAUUUGAUUUGUGUGUGUUCAAAGACCCAGAUAGUGGGAAAGUGUUCAGAUGGUGGUCCAAUAUUUUCCUUGUGGUGGAUCUUAACAGGGCCAAAAUACCUAAGCUCAUCCCAGCUAGGCUAUUUUGAAAUGAAUAGUAUAGCCAAAAAGCAAAAUAGACUCAAUACAUUUUGUGCAUCAAUAAUAUGUAAUUUGCAUACAUUUUGUACCUGUAAUAUAAUUUGUGUCCAGAAAAAGAAACAUCAUCAUUUUCACAGGUGGAUUUGCCUUCAAAGAGAUGGUACACUAUAUUUAUAUUUACCUCUGCAUUACUGUUUUUUGUAUUUAUUUUUAAUUAGUUCAACAUUAGACCAAUUAGUCUGCUAAAUUUUCCACAUUCAUUAACUAGUGCUAGUGAUGUUUUACCUACAGGGUUGUCAAGGGUAGACCACAUGGUUGCCUCAUCAUACAAGGUGGUUUGGAUCUCUCAGUAUUUUUUCUGUGGCUAUACAUAAAUGGUCAGUGUGGCCUCAAAAUUGCAAAAUUCAAGCCAACUAAUACAAAUAAUAGGAUGAAUGGUUAAGGUUAGGGCUAGAGACUAGAGAUUAGAGUUAAUAUUAACAGCCCUAUGAGGAAUUUGUUUGUAAUCAAUCCAACUAAAUCCUACUUAUUAUAAAUCACAUUAUAAGGUAAGGACUUUUGCUGCCUUGGAAUGAGCCAAAGUUACCAGACUGUUCCAAGAAAUUUGACAGAACAUCCUUCAAAUGUAUAUGAGCAAGAAAAGGCAAUAUUCUUCCAUACCAGAGAAGUUAUACAUUGCCCUAUUUUCUUCUUGUCAAGAACAGACUACCAAUCAUCAUGAGAAAAUCUUAAUUCUAUAAAAUAAUCUUUCAGACCCUAUAUAUGUUACCAUAUAUAUGAGGUUGUACAAUUCAGUAGUAAAUCAUCAGCUAAAAAAAUCUCCAUUGCUUUUAGUGCGAAAGUUUAUUGUUGAGUUGUAGGAGAUUAGGUAGUAGAACUUCAAUUAAAAUGUUUUGUUAUAUUGUUAAACAGAAGGUGACACAUGGGGACAUUUCCAUUGAGAUGAGGUUCAGAGCCUGGACCACACUAUGUCACUGGAAUUACAACUGGAAUGGUUUAAAGGUUAUAUAAAUUUAUGUUUACAUUCAAGCAAAGACUGUUACAGUUAUCCCAAAAAUCAACAACGUCUCCAGGUUACGUAUGUAGCCAUGGUUCCCAGAAGGAACGAGACAUGGGACAGUCCAAUGGAAAGUGCAGCAUCACCGGCGGGGUGAUGUCACAACCAGAAAGCUUAAAAGCACAUGAAGUGAGACCAGUGGCAGCUUCUGAAAGAAGAAGGAAGAGAUGGCCAGCAUUUUGAGGCAGUUUAUGUGGCACAUUAUAUGGGACCUCCCUCAGAGACCACUUAUGACCGCUCCCUAUCCCAUGAGACAUGCGUCUGUCGUAAGCGUUUUGCUACAGCCAGGAGUCCUGAGUCAGGAAACUGGGAUCUCUCCACAUAUCUAAGGCACAUAGGGCUCGCUGCGUGACCUUGAUUGUAUGUAGUGGAUUGCCCUUCCGGGAAAACCCCUGGGACUUUAGCCACCACAGAUGGGGUCUCAUGUGCAGGAGGCCAAGUGGAACCAUGUUAAACGCAGCUGCCAUAAGACCCAGCAGUCUCUGAACUGCUUCACAGUGAGUGACUGGCCUUCCCUCACUCUCUUGACGGCUGCGAGAAGGGACUUGUCAUGAGCCGGGGAUAGAUGUGCCGCGCAUAAGGGUCGAAUCCCAUAUUACACCGAAGUAAGCGGUUCUCUGUGAUGGAAAAAGCACAUCUUUUUUUGGCAUUUAGCCCUAACCCCAUCCUUAAUGUGGGCAAGAACUCUCUAUGCCUGACUGCCAGUUACUCUGAUUGAACCAAUAUCAACCAAUCGUCGAUAUAAUUUAAAAUGCGGAUGCCCCGAAACCUCAGAGGGACCAACACCGUAUCCACACAUUUAGUGAAGGUGCGGGAUGAGAGGGCAAGACCAAAUGGAUGGACCUGAUACUGGUAAGCUUUCGCCCCGAAAGCAAACCUUAUUAACAUCCUGUGAGCUGGAAGGAUGGAUACACGAACGUAUGCAUCCUUAAAAUCUAUGGUCACACAGUCUUUAGACCUGAUUUGGGACAUGACCUGCUUUAGGGUGAGCUGUAUGAUAGAGGGACCACCUAGAUGGCCACCUUCAUCAAGAGAGUGCUUACUUCUUUUUCCAUGACCAGAGCCUGCUCGGGCCCCACCAGGGUGGGGGACACCCCGUUGAACCGGGGUGGACAAGAGCCGAACUGAAUCAUAAAGACUCUGUCUACAGUGUGCAGGACCCACUGAGACAUGGGCUCUAGAUAGUCUUUUAAGGGAAUCAGUCUUUUGAGACUGACCUCUGGCAUACA